UACGUCAGCGGCAGACGGGUGAGUAACGCGUGGGAACGUACCUUUUGGUUCGGAACAACACAGGGAAACUUGUGCUAAUACCGGAUAAGCCCUUACGGGGAAAGAUUUAUCGCCGAAAGAUCGGCCCGCGUCUGAUUAGCUAGUUGGUAGGGUAACGGCCUACCAAGGCGACGAUCAGUAGCUGGUCUGAGAGGAUGAUCAGCCACAUUGGGACUGAGACACGGCCCAAACUCCUACGGGAGGCAGCAGUGGGGAAUAUUGGACAAUGGGGGCAACCCUGAUCCAGCCAUGCCGCGUGAGUGAUGAAGGCCCUAGGGUUGUAAAGCUCUUUUGUGCGGGAAGAUAAUGACGGUACCGCAAGAAUAAGCCCCGGCUAACUUCGUGCCAGCAGCCGCGGUAAUACGAAGGGGGCUAGCGUUGCUCGGAAUCACUGGGCGUAAAGGGUGCGUAGGCGGGUCUUUAAGUCAGGGGUGAAAUCCUGGAGCUCAACUCCAGAACUGCCUUUGAUACUGAAGAUCUUGAGUUCGGGAGAGGUGAGUGGAACUGCGAGUGUAGAGG
rnacentral:rRNA from 1 species